UAUUGGUCAAUGGACGCAAGUCUGAACCAGCCAUGCCGCGUGCAGGAUGACGGCCCUCUGGGUUGUAAACUGCUUUUAUCAGGGAAGAAUAAGCUUAACGUGUUAAGUGAUGACGGUACCUGAAGAAUAAGGAUCGGCUAACUCCGUGCCAGCAGCCGCGGUAAUACGGAGGAUCCAAGCGUUGUCCGGAUUUAUUGGGUUUAAAGGGUGCGUAGGCGGAUAUACAAGUCAGUGGUGAAAGCUAACAGCUUAACUGUUAAAUUGCCUUUGAAACUGUAUAUCUUGAGUAUAGUUGAGGUGGGCGGAAUGUAUCAUGUAGCGGUGAAAUGCAUAGAUAUGAUACAGAACUCCGAUUGCGAAGGCAGCUCACUAAGCUAUUACUGACGCUGAGGCACGAAAGCGUGGGUAGCGAACAGGA
rnacentral:rRNA from 1 species